rnacentral:misc_RNA from 1 species
GUGAGUCAUCGAAUCUUUGAACGCACAUUGCACCCUUUGGUUUUUAUCAAAGGGUAUGUCUGUUUGAGAAUCGUAUUACCAUUUCAAGCCUAUCACGCUUAUGCGAGGCAGGCUUAAAGUUGAGGCUUUAAUAAUAAGCACUUUGCUGUUUAUUGGCCUUUAAAUUGAGGGAUUUGCCAAGCUGGCUAGCCAACGUAUACAUGACUUAAAACAUCUUGUAUACAUCAGUGCCAGUCUUAGGGCUCUGUGUGGUAAGGUGUGUCAGUUAGACAACGCCAAUAACACUUUGCUCGUUCAUCA